AUGCCACUGGUAGUAGCUGUUAUCUUCUUCUCCCUCUGGGUUUUUGCACUUGGGCAGUUGGAACAACCUGAAAUAUCUAUUUCCAGACCAGCAAAUAAGAGUGCCCACAUAUCUUGGAAGGCAUCCAUCCAAGGCUUUAGCAGUAAAAUCAUACACUGGUACUGGCAGAAACCAAACAAAGGCUUAGAAUAUUUAUUACAUGUCUUCUUGACAAUCUCUGCUCAAGAUUGCUCAGGUGGGAAGACUAAGAAACUUGAGGUAAGUAAAAAUGCUCACACUUCCACUUCCACUUUGAAAAUAAAGUUCUUAGAGAAAGAAGAUGAGGUGGUGUACCACUGUGCCUGCUGGAUUAGGCAC